rnacentral:rRNA from 1 species
UACGUAGGGACCAAGCGUUGUUCGGAUUUACUGGGCGUAAAGGGCGCGUAGGCGGCGUAACAAGUCACUUGUGAAAUCUCUGAGCUUAACUCAGAACGGCCAAGUGAAACUGUUAUGCUAGAGUGCAGAAGGGGCAAUCGGAAUUCUUGGUGUAGCGGUGAAAUGCGUAGAUAUCAAGAGGAACACCUGAGGUGAAGACGGGUUGCUGGGCUGACACUGACGCUGAUGCGCGAAAGCCAGGGGAGCAAACGGG